AGCCGCGGUAAUACGGAGGAUGCGAGCGUUAUCCGGAUUUAUUGGGUUUAAAGGGUGCGUAGGUGGUGAUUUAAGUCAGCGGUGAAAGUUUGUGGCUCAACCAUAAAAUUGCCGUUGAAACUGGGUUACUUGAGUGUGUUUGAGGUAGGCGGAAUGCGUGGUGUAGCGGUGAAAUGCAUAGAUAUCACGCAGAACUCCGAUUGCGAAGGCAGCUUACUAAACCAUAACUGACACUGAAGCACGAAAGCGUGGGGAUCAAACAGGAUUAGAUACCCUGGUAGUCCACGCAGUAAACGAUGAUUACUAGGAGUUUGCGAUACAAUGUAAGCUCUACAGCGAAAGCGUUAAGUAAUCCACCUGGGGAGUACGCCGGCAACGGUGAAACUCAAAGGAAUUGACGGGGGCCCGCACAAGCGGAGGAACAUGUGGUUUAAUUCGAUGAUACGCGAGGAACCUUACCCGGGUUUGAACGUAGUCUGACCGGAGUGGAAACACUCCUUCUAGCAAUAGCAGAUUACGAGGUGCUGCAUGGUUGUCGUCAGCUCGUGCCGUGAGGUGUCGGCUUAAGUGCCAUAACGAGCGCAACCCUUAUCACUAGUUACUAACAGGUGAAGCUGAGGACUCUGGUGAGACUGCCAGCGUAAGCUGUGAGGAAGGUGGGGAUGACGUCAAAUCAGCACGGCCCUUACAUCCGGGGCGACACACGUGUUACAAUGGCAUGGACAAAGGGCAGCUACCUGGCGACAGGAUGCUAAUCUCCAAACCAUGUCUCAGUUCGGAUCGGAGUCUGCAACUCGACUCCGUGAAGCUGGAUUCGCUAGUAAUCGCGCAUCAGCCAUGGCGCGGUGAAUACGUUCCCGGGCCUUGUACACACCGCCCGUCAAGCCAUGGGAGCCGGGGGUACCUGAAGUCCGUAACCGCAAGGAUCGGCCUAGGGUAAAACUGGUGACUGGGGCUAAGUCGUAACAAGGUAGCCGUACCGGAAGGUGCGGCUG
rnacentral:rRNA from 1 species